UCUCCGUUGGUGAACCAGCGGAGGGAUCAUUACAGGACUCGCAAGACUCCUACAACCCUGUGAACUUAACUAUAAGCACGUUGCUUCGGCGGGUGUCUCGGAGGGGGUUCUCCCUCCCCGAGACGCUAAACCCGCCGGCAGCCUACUAUACUCUGUCUCUUUGCGUUGGCAUCUCGAGUACAAUCAAACAAGUUAAAACUUUCAACAACGGAUCUCUUGGUUCUGGCAUCGAGAAGAACGCAGC
rnacentral:misc_RNA from 1 species